GACGAACGCUGGCGGCGUGCUUAACACAUGCAAGUCGUACGGUAAGGCCCUUUCGGGGGUACACGAGUGGCGAACGGGUGAGUAACACGCGAGUAACUUGCCCACAACUUUGGGAUAACGCUAGGAAACUGGUUCUAAUACUGGAUAUGUGCUACUGCUGCAUGGUGGGGGUUGGAAAGCUCCGGCGGUUGUGGAUGGACUCGCGGCCUAUCAGCUUGUUGGUGGGGUAGUGGCCUACCAAGGCGGCGACGGGUAGCCGGCCUGGGGGGGUGACCGGCCACAAUGGGACUGAGGUACGGCACAGGCUCCGACGGGAGGCAACAGUGGGGAAUAUUGCACAAGGGGCGCGAGGCUGGUGCAGCAACGCCGCGUGCGGGAAGACAGCCUUCGGGGUGUAAAACGCUUUCAGCAGGGAAGAAGCUUUUUGUGACGGUACCUGCAGAAGAAGCACCGGCUAACUACGUG
rnacentral:rRNA from 1 species